rnacentral:rRNA from 1 species
UCUUUAGACCUCGUGCGAUUGGAGCNGCCGAUGUCGGAUUAGCUAGUUGGUGGGGUAAAGGCUUACCAAGGCGACGAUCCGUAGCUGGUCUGAGAGGACGACCAGCCACACUGGGACUGAGACACGGCCCAGACUCCUACGGGAGGCAGCAGUGGGGAAUUUUGGACAAUGGGCGCAAGCCUGAUCCAGCCAUGCCGCGUGAGUGAAGAAGGCCUUCGGGUUGUAAAGCUCUUUCGGACGGAAAGAAAUCGUANGGGCUAAUACCCUAUCUGGAUGACGGUACCGUAAGAAGAAGCACCGGCUAACUACGUGCCAGCAGCCGCGGUAAUACGUAGGGUGCGAGCGUUAAUCGGAAUUACUGGGCGUAAAGCGUGCGCAGGCGGUUGCAUAAGACAGGUGUGAAAUCCCCGGGCUUAACCUGGGAACUGCGCUUGUGACUGCAAGGCUAGAGUACGGCAG